UAUGUGAUCGUCUCUCGCAUAUCAAUAAGCGGAGGAAAAGAAACUAACAAGGAUUCCCCUAGUAACGGCGAGUGAAGCGGGAAGAGCUCAAAUUUGAAAUCUUAAAGGGUUUCCCUUUACGAAUUGUAGUUUAAAGAAGUGUUUUCUGUUGAGGUUUUGGUAAAAGUUCUUUGGAAUAGGACAUCAUAGAGGGUGAGAAUCCCGUAUUUGACCUUUACUUUCAACUUUGUGAUACACUUUCAAAGAGUCGGAUUGUUUGGGAAUGCAGUCCAAAAUGGGUGGUAAAUUUCAUCUAAAGCUAAAUAUUGGCGAGAGACCGAUAGCGAACAAGUACCGUGAGGGAAAGAUGAAAAGAACUUUGAAAAGAGAGUUAAACAGUACGUGAAAUUGUCAAAAGGGAAGCGUUUGACACCAGUGUUGUUUUUCUGAAAAUCAAUUAAAGAACUGUUCAUGCUAAGUUGUUUAGACUUUAUCAGCUAAUCUGCUUAGUUUUGAGCUUUUCUUUAAUGCACUUUUCAGUUAACAAGUCAACAUCAAUUUCUUUUGCUGUAAAAAAGCUUGAGGAAGGUGGCUUGAGAUUCGUCUUAAGUGUUUAUAGCCUCUUGCCUAUGCAGUCGGAGAGAUUGAGGUCUGCAGCGUAGAUCCUUCGGGGCUAAAUGCAUUUGUGCUAAGUUAUAGCAUUUUAUAGACAACUUGUUGACUAUGAUUUGUCUUGUAGCUUACUCGCUUAUGUUAUUUUACCUACGCUUAGGAUGUUGACACACGCGCGUGCUCG
rnacentral:rRNA from 1 species